rnacentral:rRNA from 1 species
GCUAGCGGCAGGCCUAACACAUGCAAGUCGAGGGGUAACAGGAAGAAGCUUGCUUCUUCGCUGACGACCGGCGCACGGGUGCGUAACACGUAUGCAACCUACCUCUUACUGAGGGAUAGCCCAGAGAAAUUUGGAUUAAUACCUCAUAACACCACAGGAUCUCCUGAUCUCAUGGUUAAAGGUUACGGUAAGAGAUGGGCAUGCGGACUAUUAGUUUGUUGGUGAGGUAAUGGCUCACCAAGACUACGAUGGUUAGGGGGUCUGAGAGGAUUAUCCCCCACACUGGUACUGAGACACGGACCAGACUCCUACGGGAGGCAGCAGUGAGGAAUAUUGCGCAAUGGACGAAAGUCUGACGCAGCCAUGCCGCGUGAAGGAUGACGGCGCUACGCGUUGUAAACUUCUUUUAUAUACCAAGAAACCUUCGGACGUGUCCGAAGCUGACGGUAGUAUAUGAAUAAGCACCGGCUAACUCCGUGCCAGCAGCCGCGGUAAUACGGAGGGUGCAAGCGUUAUCCGGAUUUAUUGGGUUUAAAGGGUCCGUAGGCGGAUCAUUAAGUCAGUGGUGAAAGCCGACAGCUCAACUGUCGAACUGCCAUUGAUACUGGUGAUCUUGAGUACGGUUGAAGUAGGCGGAAUAUGACAUGUAGCGGUGAAAUGCUUAGAUAUGUCAUAGAACACCGAUUGCGAAGGCAGCCUACUAAGCCGUCACUGACGCUGAGGGACGAAAGUGUGGGGAGCGAACAGGAUUAGAUACCCUGGUAGUCCACACCGUAAACGAUGAUUACUCGGUAUUGGCUUUUUGUCAGUGCCCAAGCGAAAGUGAUAAGUAAUCCACCUGGGGA